rnacentral:rRNA from 1 species
GAUGAACGCUGGCGGCGUGCUUAACACAUGCCAGUCGAACGGAAAGGCCCAAGCUUGCUUGGGUACUCGAGUGGCGAACGGGUGAGUAACACGUGGGUGAUCUGCCCUGCACUUCGGGAUAAGCCUGGGAAACUGGGUCUAAUACCGGAUAGGACGAUGGCUUGGAUGCCAUUGUGGAAAGUUUUUUCGGUGUGGGAUGAGCUCGCGGCCUAUCAGCUUGUUGGUGGGGUAAUGGCCUACCAAGGCGUCGACGGGUAGCCGGCCUGAGAGGGUGUACGGCCGCAUUGGAACGGAGAGACGGCCCAGACUCCUGCAGGAGGCAGAAGGGGGGAAAAUUGGACAAUGGGCGCAAGCCUGAGGCAGCGACGCCGCGUGGGGGAUGAGGGCCUUCGGGUUGUAAACUCCUUUCGCUAGGGACGAAGCGUUUUUGUGACGGUACCUGGAGAAGAAGCACCGGCUAACUACGUG